rnacentral:rRNA from 1 species
UAACACGUGGAUAAUCUGCCCUGCACAGGGGGACAACAGCUAGAAAUGGCUGCUAAUACCGCAUAAGCCUACAGCCUCGCAUGAGGGAGUAGGAAAAGAAAUUCGGUGCAGGAUGAGUCCGCGUCUGAUUAGCUAGUUGGAGGGGUAAANCCCACCAAGGCAACGAUCAGUAGCCGGCCUGAGAGGGCGACCGGCCACAUUGGGACUGAGACACGGCCCAAACUCCUACGGGAGGCAGCAG